GCCGGCCGUGCAGGGGGAUCAGAUCGUCGGUUGCAGCCCGGCGGAGGCCCGGCUGGCGGUCACCGCGCUGGCCGGCC
rnacentral:tRNA from 1 species